rnacentral:rRNA from 1 species
AUCGAACGCUGGCGGCAGGCCUAACACAUGCAAGUCGAGCGAGCGGCGGACGGUUGAGUAAUGUAUGGUGACUGCUCGUUAGAUGCGGAUAACUACUGGAAACGGUAGCUAAUACCGUAUUCUAUCCGAUUACCCAUUCGGGAUUAGCUAGUGGGUGAGGUAAUGGCUCACCUAGGCGACGAUCCCUAGCUGGUCUGAGAGGAUGAUCAGCCACACUGGGACUGAGACACGGCCCAGACUCCUACGGAGGCAGCAGUAGGGAAUAUUGGACAAUGGACGCAAGCCUGAUGCAGCCAUGCCGCGUGAAUGAAGAAGGCCCUAGGGUUGUAAAGUACUUUCAGUCGGGAGGCGUUACCGACAGAAAAAGCACCGGCUAACUCCGUGCCAGCAGCCGCGGUAAUAC